GACGAACGCUGGCGGCGUGCUUAACACAUGCAAGUCGAACGGAAAGGCCCUGCUUUUGUGGGGCUCUCGAGUGGCGAACGGGUGAGUAACACGGGUGUAACCUGCACUUGACAUACGGAGAACGUCAGGAAACCGGGGCUAAUACCGCAUAGGAUCUCCUGCUGCAUGGUGGGGGUUGGAAAGUUUCGGCGGUUCGGGAUGGUCUCGCUGCCUAUCAGCUUGUUUGUGGGGUAGUGGCUUACAAAGUUUUUGACGGGUAGCCGAUCUGGGAGGGUGACCGGCCACCUUGGUACGGCGGGACGCUGCAGACUCCUACGUGACGCAGCAGUGGGAAGUAUUGCGCAGCGGGCGGCAGCCUGAUGCCACGAUUUUGCGUGCGGAAAGCCUGCCUUUGGGGUGUAAACCGAUUUCUCAGUUGCCGUACCCUGAGUGACGGUAAUGUGUAAAUAAGCCCCGGCUAACUACGUG
rnacentral:rRNA from 1 species